ensembl:snRNA U6 U6 spliceosomal RNA
GUGCUCACUUCAGCAGCACAUAUACUAAAAUUAGAACGAAACAGAGAUGUUUAGCUUGGCCCCCGUGUAAAAGAUGACACACAGAUUUGUCAAAUUUGUGAAGUGUUC